ACAUGGAGGCUGACCCAGCUCAAGACCAAGCCCCCGAAGACUUACUAACCCCCUCAGAGAACGAAGGCAAGCCCCGGAGCAUAGCCCAGUUUUCUAAAUUCAUGCAAUAUCUAUGUUAAUUAUGUUUGUGCAUUUACAUUCAUAGGAGUUGCUUGAAACCCUAGUUGCAUGAUCCUAGGUACCUAUGUGACGAAUACUAGUAUGUUAAGUUGUGUAGUUGCUAUGCUAAAUAGGGACACGGUAAAAGUCGAAUGAUUUCCUGUCACUCGCGAGCUAUAGGAGUUGCCUGAUUACUUACAUUGCAACCAUAAGGAUUGACGGGCGGGGCUGGGCUAUAUGUUCUGUUUUGGUGGAUGUUGGAUUGCCCCAUCUGUCUAGUGGAAAACUGCUAAGGUCGAGAUGUGUUAGAACAGUGGUCAAGUGUUUGAAAGUACUAAUCUCAUACCUAGUAUGGGAUGGAGAAACCUAGUACCUGAUUGAACUAGCGUGGAUCUUUACCCCGCUCUCUCUAGAACUAGGUUCCCAUGCGGCUGCAUGUGGGUACAAGGGCAGCCACGGUACGACGACGUUUCGGGACCGGUGGGGCAUUGUACUCCAAGGGAAGUGGGCUCCGGACAAACACCGCGAAUUGAUGGGGACGGCUAAUAUAUCUGAACCCGGCGCGGUAGUAGCAUAUAUCGUGGGGUUAGGUUCACCUUGCAAGGUUAAGAAACUCGAUUUGAAUCGUCUGCCUCUCGCAGUUUGAGACUGCUUGAUUAUGCUUCUGCAUUGAGUAAGAAGAGGAAUACAUGGUGAUGAAUAAUACUGAUGCUUGAAUUAAAUUGCUUGAUCACAUGUUUGCUUAGGAUAGGUCCUUACCUAGAAUGGAUAAUCAACUAGAAUCUGAUGCUAAAACUUGAAUGUAAGGGUCCACCUUAGAUGCUUUUGGCAAAACAGACCCCUUAGCCAAAAAGCCUUGCAUGUCUAGAAGUUGGUGGAGUAGUUACCACCCGAUGGUUAAGUCUUGCUGAGUAUUAGUAUACUCAGCCUUGCUUGUGGCUAUGUUUUCAGGUAGUGCUGAUUUUGAGGAAAUGGUUGCCAGUUUGACUUGGCCUACCCAACUCCCUUCGGGUUGGAUGGUCGAGUGGAAACUGUCCUCAGACAGCAAGGACCAUGGGAAUUGAUAGCAUGGCUGGCUUCGCCAUGGUAUUAUGUAUCGACGUUAGUUGCAUCGUGACUUUUCCGCUGCUUAAACUCUAAAACAAUUUUACUUUAUGCACUUUUGAACUAUGGUUGUGUAAUAACUGAAUUUGAAUUUAGGUAUUAAGUACUAGAAUGUUGUAAUCUCUGGACUCACCUUCGUGUGAGAUGCUUUUCGUUUCGAUCUGAGACAAGUGGUUUAUCGGGUAUAACCUGACGGACUACCAUUUUAACUUGAUUAAAGUGUUGGUUUGCAUGUGAGGCGAAGUUGAGUACACUUUAGCUAAGUUAAUCUGGGUGGUUCUGCCACAGCCUCUCGACGGGAAUUACCCUUCAGAGCUACACUUAACUGACUACUCUUGGGGCAUGUUGACCGACAGCCAUGGGCUUGGCACACCGAAUUACGGAGGCUAUAGCCACGGGUUUUGUGCACUGAGUUUCGGAAGCUCCGCCAACAGGCUUGGUACAUCAAAUUUUGGAGGCUACGACCACGGGUUUGGUGCGAUGAGUGCUGGAGGCUCACAGCAGUUACACCCUAAGGAGACACAAAUCCUAUGUGCGGCAACAAGCAUUCUCCUCACCAAAAGGUAGAAAAGUCUCAAUGACUACUUUAUGCGCAAUCACGCUCUCUUUUUAUUGCAAUGCCGACUACUUAUUUAAAUGUCUUCUCUUAUCGGUCGCCAAUAUCCUUGAGCAGAACACGCCUUAAUUCAUGAUAGCCUCAAAUCUUCUGUCAUGCCUAAAUGCUAGGACGCGAGACAAAGAUCUCCGUAGUAGAAGUACCAGUACACGUACAUGAUACAAAGAUCUCACAUGCAGUGGCAAUAGCUAAACAGGGACUGAGAGCCUAAACGUAACAGGCUAACUACUCGGGAAAAAUAUGGCCGAAAUAAGAGCAUGAAUAAAUUCAAUAGUUCCAAAUUCUACAAAUAUGCUACGUAAUGUAUGAAUUUCUUUUUUCAGGUCAAGUUUCGGUGACAAUUCUCCAAGACGCUCAGCGU
rnacentral:lncRNA from 1 species